UACGUAGGUGACAAGCGUUGUCCGGAUUUACUGGGCGUAAAGAGCGCGCAGGCGGUCGAUCAAGUCGCGUGUGAAAGCCCCCGGCUCAACUGGGGAGGGUCACGCGAUACUGAUCGACUCGAAGGCAGGAGAGGGAAGUGGAAUUCCCGGUGUAGUGGUGAAAUGCGCAGAUAUCAGGAGGAACACCGGUGGCGAAGGCGGGUCUCUGGGCCGAUACUGACGCUGGAGGAGCGAAAGCGUGGGGAGCGAACAGG
rnacentral:rRNA from 1 species